UACGUAGGGGGCGAGCGUUGUCCGGAAUUACUGGGCGUAAAGGGUGCGUAGGCGGCCUGAUAAGUCAGGUGUGAAAUACCAGGGCUCAACCCUGGGGGUGCACUUGAAACUGUCGGGCUUGAGUGCAGGAGAGGAAAGCGGAAUUCCUAGUGUAGCGGUGAAAUGCGUAGAUAUUAGGAGGAACACCAGUGGCGAAGGCGGCUUUCUGGACUGUAACUGACGCUGAUGCACGAAAGCGUGGGUAGCGAACAGG
rnacentral:rRNA from 1 species